AACGUAGGAGACGAACGUUAUCCGGAGUUACUGGGCGUAAAGGGCGUGCAGGCGGUCUGAUAAGUUCGGCGUGAAAUAUUCCGGCUUAACCGGGAUAGGUCGUCGGAGACUGUCGGACUAGAGGGUGAUAGAGGCGUGUGGAAUUCCGGGUGUAGUGGUGAAAUGCGUAGAGAUCCGGAGGAACACCAGUGGCGAAGGCGGCUCACUGGUCCGGUACUGACGCUGAGGCGCGAAAGCGUGGGGAGCAAACGGGG
rnacentral:rRNA from 1 species